GGGUUCCACUGCGGGUGCUCACUUCGGCAGCACAUAUACUAAAAAAGGGUUCCACUGCGGAGCAGCUUAUUGGUGAGCCAUAUCCCCAGCGUCCCAACUUCCCUCUCUCUCCCAUCCUCUCCCUCAUCCCUCCCUUGCAUUGAGGAUGGGAUACAGCACCUCAUGGAUGUGAGGUGAGUCUGAACUCUCUAGACAAUUUGCUUGCACUCCUCUGUCCAAUGACCUCCUUCUACAGAUGCCUUCCUUCGACCCCCAGGUGUAGCCAGGAAUAGCCAUGACAUCCAGGAGGCCUCACCAUCCACUUCUGGAGUGUGUGAUGAGUCUACUGCCCUUCUGGCGUCAUCCCAGAGGAUGAAGGAGCCUGAUGUUCAGUUGAAGCUGGAAGAUGAAGGCUGGGGUUGGAGUGCACGGAAUCCGUGCCUUUUCCCCCUCCCCACACUGUUAUCACUUGGAGGGAUCUCCGUGACUCUGAAAAUGUUACAUAUGGGAAUGUUUGCUGAGUGAAUAAAAGAACAGCGAACAGAUGCUGGGGUUGCAACCCAGGAAGCCGGGCUGCUCUACUACUGAUCUAUGCACUCAAGACCUGGGCUGCUCUACUACUGAUCUAUGCACUCGAGACCCUUGGCAGAGGUUUCUGUGCUGUCUCUAGUUCCUCUACCCAUGCGUCAAAUAGUACCUGACCACAAAGCAGUUGCUCAAACAACUGUCUUUUUUUCUUUCUUUCUACGUUUCUUCUUCCUUCCUUCCUUCCUCUCUCCCUCCUCUCUUUCCUUUCCUCCCUCUCUCUCUCUCUC